ACAUCAUGUAUAUAUUUAUUUAAUCGCUUCUCUUUCUUAAGGACUUGAAACUUGAGGGCUUUAUGUAUAUGGCGUUUCAUUUGGAACCUGGGUUAUGUUGUUCAUAUGAUUAUAGUAGAGACAUACUUUGAUACUUACAUGGUAUAUAGGAGGUCGUUAAGACUAUGUCGUGGGUAACGGUGUUUGUUACCGCUGAGGGAAGGUAGGCAUUUGGGUUAUGGACUUAAGACUUGUUACCCACUUGUUGUGGUUGUGUUUAGACUUAGGACUUGGGCUUUACAAUUUCGUCGUAGGUAGGUGACUCACUACUUCGACGCGAAUAAAGGGCUAAAGGACUCAUAUGUACCACUACUCUACGUUAGUUAACAACUCCUUGAGCCGCUACUGGAACAGGACCCGCUGCCGGAGAAGCGUCGUCCCGAGCUCCUCCACCUUCCACACGGGGAAGGGGCCGCGGACGGUUUACAGCCGGAGGGGCGAGGUGGGCGAGCGGGACUCGGCCAGCAUCAUCCGCGCCGGCGCCAGCGCCUCGUGCAGCGGGAGCGGCUACGUGUGGUCGUGUGCGGCCGUGCGGUCCCGCAGGUCGGGGCCGCGUGGCAGGUGCUUGCCCAACUACUCGCCCAGCAGGAGGGGCCACCACCAGCCCGUGUACUGCGCGGUGUCCGACCGGUCCGAGAGGGCGCGGCGGCCCAGGUCCAGCAGCCUCCGGUGGAAUAGCCACGGCUCCUUCAUCCCCACCUAGUACUCCUCCGGCACCUAGCGCCGCCCCUGCCCCACGAGCCCGCGCUCCGCCAUGAGCUGCCUCUGCUGCUCCUGCGGCCGCUCGCGCCGCUCCAACAACUUCAUCCGCACCUUCCACCCCAACUUCCGCCUCGGCUCCGUCUUCGGCGGCGGCACCAUCAUCUGCUCCUGCCCCUCGAACCGCAACAGCCCGAACCGCCCCAGCUACACCCCCUCCAUCUCCGCGCGCCUCUGGAGCCCCCUCUACUGCGCCAGCGCCCUCCGCUGGGGCCACCGCCGCAGCCGCACCCGCCUCCGCCGCUGCUUGAGCCUCGGCUUCAUCGCGAGCUGCGCCAAGAACAUCUACGCCUACGUCCCGUACCUGAGCAUCUGCUAGAGCAGCAGCCGGCGCCCGCGGCCCCGGCCCUACCCCUGCCGCCGCCGGUAGCGCGCGCGCCCGCUCUAGACCCGCUGCCCCGCUGCCAUGCCACCACCAACCCUGAGGCCCGGCUCCAACUCCCCUGCACAUCUGAAACGAGACGAGACCAGUUCAUCUUUACCGAGUUCGAUCCAACCACAACACAACUAACC
rnacentral:rRNA from 1 species